GGUUAAGCGACUAAGCGUACACGGUGGAUGCCCUGGCAGUCAGAGGCGAUGAAGGACGUGCUAAUCUGCGAUAAGCGUCGGUAAGGUGAUAUGAACCGUUAUAACCGGCGAUUUCCGAAUGGGGAAACCCAGUGUGAUUCGUCACACUAUCGUUAACUGAAUACAUAGGUUAACGAAGCGAACCGGGGGAACUGAAACAUCUAAGUACCCCGAGGAAAAGAAAUCAACCGAGAUUCCCCCAGUAGCGGCGAGCGAACGGGGAGGAGCCCAGAGCCUGAAUCAGCAUGUGUGUUAGUGGAAGCGUCUGGAAAGGCGCGCGAUACAGGGUGACAGCCCCGUACACAAAAGCGCAUGUGCUGUGAGCUCGAUGAGUAGGGCGGGACACGUGGUAUCCUGUCUGAAU
rnacentral:rRNA from 1 species